rnacentral:rRNA from 1 species
UACGGGGGGGGCAAGCGUUGUUCGGAAUUACUGGGCGUAAAGGGCCAGUAGGCGGCCAACUAAGUCGGAUGUGAAAUCCCCAGGCUUAACCUGGGAACUGCAUCCGAUACUGGAUGGCUUGAAUUCGGGAGAGGGAUGCAGAAUUCCAGGUGUAGCGGUGAAAUGCGUAGAUAUCUGGAGGAAUACCGGUGGCGAAGGCGGCAUCCUGGACCGGCAUUGACGCUGAGGCGCGAAAGCCAGGGGAGCAAACGGG